UGCAGUCGAGCGAACGGACGAGAAGCUUGCUUCUCUGAUGUUAGCGGCGGACGGGUGAGUAACACGUGGAUAACCUACCUAUAAGACUGGGAUAACUUCGGGAAACCGGAGCUAAUACCGGAUAAUAUUUUGAACCGCAUGGUUCAAAAGUGAAAGACGGUCUUGCUGUCACUUAUAGAUGGAUCCGCGCUGCAUUAGCUAGUUGGUAAGGUAACGGCUUACCAAGGCAACGAUGCAUAGCCGACCUGAGAGGGUGAUCGGCCACACUGGAACUGAGACACGGUCCAGACUCCUACGGGAGGCAGCAGUAGGGAAUCUUCCGCAAUGGGCGAAAGCCUGACGGAGCAACGCCGCGUGAGUGAUGAAGGUCUUCGGAUCGUAAAACUCUGUUAUUAGGGAAGAACAUAUGUGUAAGUAACUGUGCACAUCUUGACGGUACCUAAUCAGAAAGCCACGGCUAACUACGUGCCAGCAGCCGCGGUAAUACGUAGGUGGCAAGCGUUAUCCGGAAUUAUUGGGCGUAAAGCGCGCGUAGGCGGUUUUUUAAGUCUGAUGUGAAAGCCCACGGCUCAACCGUGGAGGGUCAUUGGAAACUGGAAAACUUGAGUGCAGAAGAGGAAAGUGGAAUUCCAUGUGUAGCGGUGAAAUGCGCAGAGAUAUGGAGGAACACCAGUGGCGAAGGCGACUUUCUGGUCUGUAACUGACGCUGAUGUGCGAAAGCGUGGGGAUCAAACAGGAUUAGAUACCCUGGUAGUCCACGCCGUAAACGAUGAGUGCUAAGUGUUAGGGGGUUUCCGCCCCUUAGUGCUGCAGCUAACGCAUUAAGCACUCCGCCUGGGGAGUACGACCGCAAGGUUGAAACUCAAAGGAAUUGACGGGGACCCGCACAAGCGGUGGAGCAUGUGGUUUAAUUCGAAGCAACGCGAAGAACCUUACCAAAUCUUGACAUCCUUUGACAACUCUAGAGAUAGAGCYUUCCCCUUCGGGGGACAAAGUGACAGGUGGUGCAUGGUUGUCGUCAGCUCGUGUCGUGAGAUGUUGGGUUAAGUCCCGCAACGAGCGCAACCCUUAAGCUUAGUUGCCAUCAUUAAGUUGGGCACUCUAAGUUGACUGCCGGUGACAAACCGGAGGAAGGUGGGGAUGACGUCAAAUCAUCAUGCCCCUUAUGAUUUGGGCUACACACGUGCUACAAUGGACAAUACAAAGGGCAGCGAAACCGCGAGGUCAAGCAAAUCCCAUAAAGUUGUUCUCAGUUCGGAUUGUAGUCUGCAACUCGACUACAUGAAGCUGGAAUCGCUAGUAAUCGUAGAUCAGCAUGCUACGGUGAAUACGUUCCCGGGUCUUGUACACACCGCCCGUCACACCACGAGAGUUUGUAACACCCGAAGCCGGUGGAGUAACCUUUUAGGAGCUAGCCGUCGAA
rnacentral:rRNA from 1 species